rnacentral:rRNA from 1 species
GUGAGGAAUUUUCCGCAAUGGGCGAAAGCCUGACGGAGCAAUGCCGCGUGAAGGAUGAAGGCCUAUGGGUUGUAAACUUCUUUUCUCAGAAAAGAAUUAUGACGGUAUCUGAGGAAUAAGCAUCGGCUAACUCUGUGCCAGCAGCCGCGGUAAGACAGAGGAUGCAAGCGUUAUCCGGAAUGAUUGGGCGUAAAGCGUCUGUAGGUUGUUUAAAAAGUAUUCUGUCAAAGAUUAGGGCUUAACCCUAGAUAGGCAGAAUAAACUUUUAAGCUAGAGUUUGGUAGAGGCAGAGGGAAUUCCCGGUGGAGCAGUGAAAUGCGUAGAUAUCGGGAGGAACACCAAAGGCGAAGGCACUCUGCUGGGCCAAUACUAACACUGAGAGACGAAAGCGAGGGGAGCAAAUGGGAUUAGAUACCCGGGUAGUCC